rnacentral:tRNA from 1 species
ACCUGGCUGGCUCAUUCGGUAGAGCACAUGACUCUUGGGGUUAUGAGUUCAAAUCCCAUGUUGGGUG